GUCCAGACUCCUACGGGAGGCAGCAGUGGGGAAUAUUGCACAAUGGGGGAAACCCUGAUGCAGCAACGCCGCGUGGGUGAAGGAGCGUUUCGGCGCGUAAAGCCCUGUCAGCGGGGAAGAAGAAAGACGGUACCCGACCAAGAAGCCCCGGCUAACUACGUGCCAGCAGCCGCGGUAAUACGUAGGGGGCGAGCGUUAUCCGGAUUUACUGGGUGUAAAGGGAGCGUAGACGGCCAUGCAAGCUCGGUGUGAAAGGUGCGGGCACAACCCGCAGACUGCACUGAGAACUGUAUGGCUGGAGUGCCGGAGGGGCAGGCGGAAUUCCUGGUGUAGCGGUGAAAUGCGUAGAUAUCAGGAGGAACACCGGUGGCGAAGGCGGCCUGCUGGACGGCGACUGACGUUGAGGCUCGAAAGCGUGGGGAGCGAACAGGAUUAGAUACCCCGGUA
rnacentral:rRNA from 1 species